GAUGAACGCUGGCGGCGUGCCUAAUACAUGCAAGUCGAGCGAACGGACGAGAAGCUUGCUUUUCUGAUGUUAGCGGCGGACGGGUGAGUAACACGUGGAUAACCUACCUAUAAGACUGGGAUAACUUCGGGAAACCGGAGCUAAUACCGGAUAAUAUUUUGAACCGCAUGGUUCAAAAGUGAAAGACGGUCUUGCUGUCACUUAUAGAUGGAUCCGCGCUGCAUUAGCUAGUUGGUAAGGUAACGGCUUACCAAGGCAACGAUGCAUAGCCGACCUGAGAGGGUGAUCGGCCACACUGGAACUGAGACACGGUCCAGACUCCUACGGGAGGCAGCAGUAGGGAAUCUUGCGCAAUGGGCGAAAGCCUGACGGAGCAACGCCGCGUGAGUGAUGAAGGUCUUCUGAUCGUAAAACUCUGUUAUUAGGGAAGAACAUAUGUGUAAGUAACUGUGCACAUCUUGACGGUACCUAAUCAGAAAGCCACGGCUAACUACGUG
rnacentral:rRNA from 1 species